rnacentral:lncRNA from 1 species
CCUAUAUGGACCGAAGUCCGGAACCUCAGGUCUUCCCGAAGAAUAAGCUAUGUCGGAUUCAGAUCUAUAUUUUUAAUAUUAUCUCCCGAGCUUAAUGUCUCGGAGGUAACACUCCUAACGUCAUCGUCCAAGCUUAAUGCCUCAAAGCUCGCACUCCUAAAGCCGUCACCUGUGCUUCAGGUGUCGAUAGAAAAGCUAGAGUCACUCAUAGCUGAAAAAAAGAGGGACUGACCUAAAAGUGAAGUGGCCGAGCAAAUAGGGGAUGAGGAACAAAGGAAGACUAACUAGCUCGGCUUUACUUGAGCAGGUUUGUAGAAUCACCAAAGUGCCAGAGUUAUCCCUUUUGAAUAGUAGAAGC